GAGUUUGAUCUUGGCUCAGGACGAACGCUGGCGGCGUGCCUAAUACAUGCAAGUCGAGCGAGUCCCUUCGGGGGCUAGCGGCGGACGGGUGGAGUAACACGUAGGCAACCUGCCUCUCAGAUCGGGAUAACAUAGGGGAAACUUAUGCUAAUACCGGAUAGGUUUUCGGUAUCGCAUGAUCCGAAAAGAAAAGGCGGCUUCGGCUGUCACUGGGAGGAUGGGCCUGCGGCGCAUUAGCUAGUUGGUGGGGUAACGGCCUACCAAGGCGACGAUGCGUAGCCGACCUGAGAGGGUGACCGGCCACACUGGGACUGAGACACGGCCCAGACUCCUACGGGAGGCAGCAGUAGGAAUUUCCACAAUGGACGAAAGUCUGAUGGAGC
rnacentral:rRNA from 1 species